rnacentral:rRNA from 1 species
UGGGGAAUCUUGCACAAUGGGGGAAACCCUGAUGCAGCGACGCCGCGUGAGCGAUGAAGGUUUUCGAAUCGUAAAGCUCUGUCCUAUGGGAAGAUAAUGACGGUACCAUGGGAGGAAGCCCCGGCUAACUACGUGCCAGCAGCCGCGGUAAUACGUAGGGGGCGAGCGUUGUCCGGAAUUACUGGGCGUAAAGGGUUCGCAGGCGGCAUGGCAAGUCCGAUGUAAAAGGCGAAGGCUCAACCUUCGUAAGCAUCGGAAACUGUCAAGCUUGAGUGAAGGAGGGGCAAGUGGAAUUCCUAGUGUAGCGGUGGAAUGCGUAGAUAUUAGGAGGAAUACCGGUGGCGAAGGCGACUUGCUGGACUUCAACUGACGCUGAGGAACGAAAGCGUGGGUAGCAAACAGG